GGGCCGUUAUCUCAAAUGGCUAGAGCGACCGGCUCAUAACCGGUAACAUCUCGGUUCGAGUCCGAGACGGCCCA
rnacentral:tRNA from 1 species